UCGAGCAUGUUCUUUUACAUUAUAAAAUGAUCAAACCAAUUAGUUGUUUAUUACAUUCAAAGGAGAAAUAAUAUGGCUAAAUUGUUCAAGCUUGUUAAUCUUAUCAUUCUCUCUUUUUUCCUAUUUUUUGUUGUAUGCGACGCAUGGACUUAUUAUUGUGUUACUCAAAGGACUUGUCCAGACAGUAUGUGCGUCUUUCCUGAACUACCGAAGUGCAGGUUCUUUAAAUGUAGAUGCAAACAAGAAUAUAUUAUCAACGAUGAGUAGUUCGGGUUCAAGUUCUUAAAUUGGUGGUUGACACCGUCUAAUAAUGAUUAUCGGAUGAAGAUUUUUAUAUUAAUCUUUUUUAAAAUGUAUUUGAUAAAUAAAUGUUGUAAUCAACAACUUUGAACUAGAGAAGUGUUAACUUCUUUGGAAAUAGUGAAAAAUGUCAUUUUAUUUGUUCUUCUAA